GGAUACUCAUGCAAAAAGGUAGUCCUUGACGAAGGAACCGCGCUACCUGUGGGGAUACGAACACAUACAAAACAAACAUGUAUAAAGUAAACGUGCCAACAAGGCAAUCAAAAUAAAUCUCCCAAAUGGUAUCGCACAAGCAAAGUGGAAUAUCUAGCGAGCUAUCCCUGCAAAAGUCAUGUGAGCCUUCACAAAAACUCAACAAAAGCGUUA
rnacentral:lncRNA from 1 species